rnacentral:lncRNA from 1 species
GAAAGUUCUCUGCCUUGGUAUCACGAGGAAACACUACCUCACUGCCUUCUAGCCCCAGCUAGUGAUGAAACACCCCGUGGCUCCUCCUCUUGGCUUUAUUAGCAUGGGGACACCUCCAGCAUAUAAUCGUCUCCAUGCUCUGUCUUGAUAAUCGGGAGCUCAGGAAUUCUGGCAGCUCCUUUUUUUCACCUUCUUGCUGUUUGUUUCCUCACCUCUGGCUGUCUCGAGGAUAAGCAUCAUGGAAGCACCAAACUUGCUAGAAAAUGGAACUAUUGCACAGAAAAGGAAGUUCUCCUGCAGUCAAGUGGCUUUUUAUGCAUCAGCAUUUCUCUCAACUCUGAUUUCUGUCCUGGUUCCUAUAGUCUUCUGUAUGCUCCGUCAUAAGCAGGCACCAGGGACGUGCUGGGCCCAUGGGUCUUUGAAAGUCACCUCUACAUCUGUCAUGACCUGGGAGUGGAACUUAACACACUGCGAUGGAUUUGUGGAGAAGGAUCCUAUAUACCUGACAAUCACGAAGAGCGGCAACUACUUCAUCUAUGCUCAGUUCAACCGCAAAAAAGAUACAAAUGAGUCUUUUACAGUGGUACUGAACAAAGAGCCAGGCAUCCUUCUCAACAAGGUUGUGGGACCAAACAUGGGAGAUAAGGCUACAGUAAAUUUUGGGAGACCUUUCUCCCUGCACAAGGGAGAUAAGCUGCGCUGUUGGAUUAAUUUUAAGCUUGACUACAUUCUGGCAGAGAAUCAGACUUACUGGGGCCUGUAUAAAAUAUAGCAGGAUUCUGCUCUGAGUUAACUCCUCCCUUACUCCUUCCAGGAAACCUUAGGGCACUUAUCAUCAUGGCUGAAGAGUUUCUGAUUUCUCUUUGAAUGAAAUUCAAGUUGAUGGAGUAAACAUCAUAGUCAGGCUAGUAUCCUGCAGUGACGGACUAAGAUGCAGAACUAAGUGAAUAGGAAACUUUGGUAAUAAUGGAUAUCAACUGACUGUCAUGAGGUAUGAGAGAAAGAUGCUUCUGUGGGGAAAAGACCUUAAAGCUUUUACAGGGGAUGACCCUAAGAUCCUGGAAAAAUGAGUUAUUAUAUUCAACCUAUGCUGAGCUGGGGAGGAGUUCUGCUGUGUAGCUGGUUGCAUUUCAGAGCUGGGUGCAUGUCAGUACCUGGGGGUCCCUUCUAAUGAAAGGUGCUAUGUAAAGAUAAGGUAUUCUAUAUCAUUCCUGCACAGCCUGCCCAUGAAGCAAUGUGUCUAACGCACAGGGACAGAACAGUUCAGAGACAGUCUGUGAUGGAAGGAAAGCUUCUCACCUCCAUCUACAGCUUUGCCCUCUCUAUGCCAUCAGCAAGGGAAAUUCCACAUCAGAGUUUCCCCAGGAAAGCUCCAUCUUUUUGGGUAGUUCAGAGCACAAGAACCUUUUUGUUCAAGCACAAGCAGCAGUGCGCCUCUAUGAAUUCAUGUCAGUUCACUCACUGGGUCCAGAGGCACACAACACACUGAGCUCGCCCUUCCAGUCAAUGCGGCCGCUUGCAUCCGGCUGCCAUACAGGGUGCAUCUAUGCUGGCUGAGUAGCCUAGAAAUACAGUGGUGCAAUAUGCAAGCAGAUACUGUAGAGAAGAAAUAACGAUAGAAAGACAUGUAUGGGAAGAGCAGGCAUGGAUCAGAGAGCAGAGCAUGGAGGAUCUGAACACUGUUACUGGCUAUUUUUUUCUACUUCUCUGUGUAUCCUGGGUUGCAAUCAGGGCAGGGCAGAACAGACACAGUCCUGACAAGAAACAGGGAAGGGUUGAACAUCCCUCCUACUAUCCACCCCAUGCAAACACAGCCUUGGCAUCCGRGACAAAACAAAAGUCAGGCCGGUAUCGCAGCAGGGAGGUGGGAAACAUGAGCUAAGAGUGGAGCAGCACACCUUCACCUGCUUGGAGGAACCGGUGGGUGUUGAGAUGCUGCUUGAUUCGAGGCCUUGGCCACAUGCUGUGCUCCCUGGGAUGAGCGUCAAAUCAUCUGCACAUCACAUGAAAGUCUCAAAGUCUCAGCAAAGGCAGAGUGCUCUCAGGAAACCAGUCUGCUGUGGCUCUGUGAUGGCCGAGCAGCCCCACGGCAUGGUGUCUGCACCUUGCUGGGCAGGCUUUCCCAGGGGCUAUGUGCUUGCUUUCCUACCACCUAGACCCUCAUGGGUAAAAACUGCUCUACCGUUCCUCAGAACAUGUCUCAGCCUUGUGGUUUUGCAGGGCAAAGCAAAGCAACUGAGAAGCUGGUUGGAAAUAAACAGUGAUUUGGGGUGGUUUGGGGCA